rnacentral:lncRNA from 3 species
AUUGGGCAAGGUGGAGAAGUUAACCUUGGCAAGCUCUCCCUUCAACUUAUUUUUCUUGAGGUUGAUAAAUCUGGGAUUUUGCCACUGAAUCUGUUCCCACCGAGAUCAAGAAAACCUAGAUUACUGAGCUUUAUCAUUAGUGCAUCGUCAAUUAUUCCUUGCAAGUGGUUAUUAGGAAAGGAGAGGUACUCCAAUGAGGUGGCUCUGAAGAGAUCAUCUGGCAGGGUCCCAAUGAUGUUGUUUUGGCCAACCCUGAGCAUUCUAAGGGAAGAGCAUUUACCUAUUCCAGGGGGGAUGCUGCCACUGAAUUGGUUGUAA